CAACAUUUUCUAGUUUUGCUUUAAGUUCUCAAUUAACCUAAACGGAUGGGUCUUGAAAUCAAGCGACAGAUGUAAUUCUUAUCCUGUCCUGAGGAGUAGUAAGGGCAUAGUUAAACUGUGUACAGCUCUACAGAUGAGAGGCUGUGUCAGAUUCCACAAUUCAGUUUCAACUAUAGCCGGUUAAAAGUUACAUUGCAAGGGGUUUAAUCUGUUUUUUUCUAGUGAUUCCAGCCAUACUACCUGUUUAAGGAAAACUGGACAAAGCUGCAACAGUAGCAUUGUGUGUCCUGGGAACUUCAAAUAAUUACUCCUUUGAGCCACUUGGGGAAAUCAUUUGGGGGUGGGUGGACAGGGUAAGUGUCCAAGACUUGUGAAGGAAGUAGUGUUAACGUAUCAAAGUGGGAAUGGAUGAGUCUGGAAUGUCAGUUCUACAAAGACAAAUACUUUAAUCACAAGCAUUGAAUUAAUUGCAGAGCUUGUAACUUGAGGUGCCAUCCUGGUUUAGACUCUGGUAACAUGAGCAUAAUGCUCUAAUUUCAUGGUGUAGGUUGCUGAAACCUUUUAAAGUAAUGACAGCUGCUCUCUGCAAAAUCACAUAACACUUUACAACGUUCUUCCACAUUUUGGUUUGAUUCUGGCAUCAGCUCUGAGCUUUUUAAUCAUUCUCAGAUAAUGUAGUACUGUUACCUUUUUUUACUGCAACUGAAUGGUUGAAUAUUUCUUUAGGUUGAGGGGUUUGUUUGUUUGGUUUUUAUAACUUAAGCAUGCAGACCAGUCUGUCUUUGAUGUGAUUGGGAUUGAACACCAAACUACUUACAAAGCACAAAUACUGCUGAAAUUGAAGAUAACCAGGAAGCUUACUGAAGAGAUCUGCUGUUCUCCUUCAUCCCCAGUGAAGCUCAAACCAAACAGGCAAGAUGAAAGCUCUGGCUGCCUUGUUUUGGAAGCUGAAAUCAAGAGGACAUCGUGUAUUGAUUUUGAUGCAGAUGAUUCUAGUGCUUGAUUAUACUGGAGCUUUUCUUGAACAUCCAUUUUCUCACAUAUGUAAGAGUUAAUGAGAGUGGUGCUCACAGUUGGCAUCAUCUGGUAAGAGGACCUCUUGCUCAAGAUAAUAGUUAAUAUAUGCUCAUAGCAGGAGGGAAAUGGUAAAGGGAAGUUUAAUACAUUUGCAACAUUAAUUUGCAUAAUUUUAUUAGUUAUUUAAGCAAAUUAUGUAUGUAGCUGUCACACAAAUAUGUAAUUAUAUAUGAAAUAUGUCAGUCAUAUUACUAUUUGAUGAGGCAUCCGGGGUGUUUCCAAGAGGCAUGCCACUAGUUGUCCUACAUUUAUGAGUAAUUUGUGUUUGAAAUACAGAUGCUUUAUUUCACAAUAUUUCACAAUUUCAUAAUUGCUUUGGCUUUCAUUAUCUGUAGCUAUCUACAUUGUUAGUACUAUAAGUGUAGUUGCUGCUUUUAUGUUGGCACUUCCUCAGCCUUACUCCAGGGGCUUUUGCUUUUUGUAGAGUGCCCUGGCAUUGCCUGAGGAUAAAUUGAAAGCAUGUUCAUUUCCCUCCCCAGUACGAUUUUCAGUACCCUCUGGGGCCUACAAUUUGAGCAAACAUUAACAAUAUAGUGAAGUCAUUCUUUUCCUAUUUUUUGUUUCAAGUUGCAUUGUUAUGAUUUCUGCCAGAUGCAGUAGAAAACAUGAAGGAAUACUUUGCCUUAAAGCAAAACAAGGCAGCACAAUAGAAGGGAUUCAAUUUAGUCUGUAGACAAUAAAAACGACGAAGCACACACAGCAUAAUAACUCAGUCAGUGUGCAUAGUAACUGCAAUGGUAUUCUCUUGUUUUCCAGUUAGGUAAAUGGAAGGAGCCUAUUCUCAGUGAUAUUGGUGUGACAUGAGGGGAAUGUCGGAUUUUUGGUCCUUAGAUCUCUUUUCUAUCUUAAUUAUGUUGCUGUUAUUUGCAAGCAAAAGGAAUUAAAAUUCAGUUUAAUUAACUUUACUAUGCCUGUUAGCCUGUAAAAGGUGUGACUCAGGUCAGUGGCAAUGUACCAUUGUUAGUAUAGUUAUUGUGAAAUGUACUAAUAUUUUAAAGUGUACAAAUUUUCUUCCUAAAAGGAGUUAAAACCCACAAAUAUAAAAUGGGAAUAUCAGCAUGCCAACGAGGCGCAAAACACUUCAGAAGAAGUGAAAGAGGAACUCUUAACAUACACCAGACAAAAUACUUAUAGCAUGGUAACAUAAGGGAUCUCCAAGUCUUUGCUUUUUGACAGACAUAAUAACUUUGUCCUGCCACUUAGCUUCAACUGAGAGAAAAGAAGCAUUGCCAUAGAAGGACAGUUGUUCCUCCACCUUCCCUUUUUGGCCAGAUGACUCGAAGAAUAUUGAAAACAAGACAGAAGAGCAAAGCUCAGAAGACACUCCUCUGGAUAAAACAGAAAACGCAUUUCGUGAGAACUUUGUUAGCUGUCGUCAAGUCAGCUGCUGACAGCGGUCAACAUGAUCCUGCAUGGCUAACUGCUGAAGACUUGGCGCUGUUCAAAGCAUUGCCUGAAAUAAAACUGGAGCAACAGCCUAGUCAGAAGCAAGAGGAACAGUGGAGCAAAUCCCAACCCAGUGUCAACCACAGGGGGAAACACAGUAGGCAGAGAAAUACGUUCCUCACAGCUAAAUGAAUCUGCAAGCCUGGAUUCAUGUACACUUAUAGCAUCUGUUUUGACUUUGGUGAGGCUGUGUGUAGGACUCUCAGCAAAUCUGGAGAAGUGGGACACUGAGUAAUGGGAGCAUUUUCUUCUAACCGAGCUGAGGUGGUGAAAUUUAAUGUUACUUUAAAAAUAGACUCUUGCUCAUGGAUAUAAGAAUACUAUUCAAAACUUAAUUACAGACAAGCUCUUUCUUAAAGAAUCAGGAUUUUGGGCUUCAUCCCAGAAUGGAUUUAAUGAUGCUGAAAAAGGCAUUCUAUAUAUAGACCGGAACAAAUGUCCUUUUAUGAUACUAAUAUAAUGGUACUUUUUUAGUGUGUGUAUCUCACUCAUUUGAAAGAAUUUCUUAAAACUUCACGUCCUCUUUUGUUAACACUUUGGAACACAUGUAAAUGUUAAGAAUACACUGUGUUUGAUGACACUUACAGGCCUUGGGACAUACAGUAUCUCCAGCCAUACCUGUUUUACCACAACUGUCCCUGGUCCGAGCACACCCAGAGCCCACAACACCCGGCCUUUUUCUUCAAGCAGCAGCAGUUGACAGAACCAGUUGUAACCAUCGAUCCAAGGACAACUGUGCAGAUGCGUUUGGUGACUCCACUCAUAUCAGAUUUAUUUACCAGGACUUCCAAGGACCAGUCCUAAUCCUCAGACCACAGUAACUUCUUUGGCAGCGAUGAACUCAGCGUAGAAGUUGCUCUGAUGCCCAGCUGCUAGUGUAUGUCAAACGCUGGAAAGCAAUGCUUGCAUACUGCCUGGAUUCAGCCCACAUCACUUCUUCAGUUGUGGUGUUAAGAACAGUGAGAUGCCUGGUUUUAAAUGGGAGCUGAGUGUCACUACUGAACAGGUGCAAGUUGUAUUUUCUUUAUUGCUGAACUAUUCUGCAAUUGUUGGUGUACGUUUUUUUCAAUAUUUAUUGUAAGUAAGAGUAGCACUAAGCUACUUUUUCCCUCCCUUCUGCAUUCCUGCCUUUGCACUGUGAGGAUUUCCUUGCCUGUGCUCCAGGUGAGCAAUCCAUUGUUCAUCCUUUAGCCAGAUUUUCUCUGUGUAUUUUUAACACUAAAUCUUGCAGAAAAGGGGCAGCGCUGUUACCUGCGCGAGCGGCAAUUACUCUCUUCCAGUGGUCAUUACGCUCCCAUAUCCGCACUGCAAUAAAAGUUAGCUUUC